CAGCGAUCUGUCUUCACCACCCUCCAGGGGAUUCUGCGGUGGACUCAGGUUUGAGAACAGAGGAUGCAUAAUACCAUGCCCUGGGUAACCUGAUGUGCUAGGCUGUUAGAACAAGGAGAACUGAGCUCAGAAGUAUCCGUACAUUCUAAAACAUUGUUGACUCUCCCUUUGGCAGAGAGCACUGACCAGUUGGCCCACAAUGCGUGUGUGUGGCAAGGGGUGAAGGGUUAAGAGGAGAAAGUUCUAUUCCCGGCAAGAACAAGAUGUUUCCUCUACCAGAAUUGGCGGGAGACAGCCAGCGCCCAGCCAGAGGGACCAGUCAAGGCACGUGGUGACCAAGGCAGAUGAACUGUCUCUCCUGUUGGGGUGUUAGACAGUAAACAACAGACACACACAAAUGAAUGUGUGGGAGUAUUCCCCGCCCCCCCGUUGUUCUUGA
rnacentral:lncRNA from 1 species